rnacentral:rRNA from 1 species
AUUGAACGCUGGCGGCAGGCCUAACACAUGCAAGUCGAACGAGUGGCGGACGGGUGAGUAAUGUCUGGGAAACUGCCUGAUGGAGGGGGAUAACUACUGGAAACGGUAGCUAAUAACGCAUACCAUCAGAUGUGCCCAGAUGGGAUUAGCUAGUUGGUGGGGUAACGGCUCACCAAGGCGACGAUCCCUAGCUGGUCUGAGAGGAUGACCAGCCAAAACGGAACUGAGCCACGGUCCAGACUCCUACGGUGUGCAGCAGUGGGUAAUAUUGCACAAUGGGCGCAAGCCUGAUGCAGCCAUGCCGCGUGUCUGAAGAAGGCCUUCGGGUUGUAAAGUACUUUCAGCGGGGAGGCGUUACCCGCAGAAGAAGCACCGGCUAACUCCGUGCCAGCCGCCGCGGUAAUUC